rnacentral:rRNA from 1 species
UACGGAGGGUGCAAGCGUUACUCGGAAUCACUGGGAGUAAAGGGCGCGUAGGCGGCCUAGCAAGUCUGGUGUGAAAGCCCAGGGCUCAACCCUGGAAGGGCUGUGGAAACUGUUAGGCUUGAGUUCCGGAGAGGAGGGGGGAAUUCUCGGUGUAGCGGUGAAAUGCGUAGAUAUCGGGAGGAAUACCGGUGGCGAAGGCGCCCCUCUGGACGGAAACUGACGCUGAGGCGCCAAAGCGUGGGGAGCAAACAGG